AAAAGCACAGUGGUACAGUGAAAAGCAAAAAAUUGUUUUUUUAGACAGUUUUAGAGUAUAAGAUUUAACUCUCAUCGAAGAGUUGGAUUACAUUUGACCUACUUGUAGAUGAUGGAGUGAACACUCCGCGACAGUCGGGGGUUCAAGUUUUGCAGUUGUUUGUAAAACUUCAAAAGGUGUUGAAUGCGUUAGACUAACUCGAUGGAAAUUAAAAUCAUGAGAUUUUAAUGCAGCAGUCGUACUUUUAUAAGCUCAUUUGAAAGGCGCUUAGUGGCAAGUGUUCGUUCCAUCACGGCGCGAAUCAAACCCAAACCUAGGUACCUAGGUACGACACGACGUGGAGGUAUCAUUUUACUUUUCAAUGGUUGGUGAAGCAGAUAGACGAAUUAGUGGCGCAAACAUAUGCGGUGCGAUAAAGCCUUUCUCUGUGUGGAAAACCACUUUUCUCCAUUUGCGCCACAGUCACACAGCAAAUGGAAGCCAGGCGGGAGAGAGUUCCUCCGAUUCCUUGCAGGCGACCGAAAGCAAAAGCAACGGUGCAGCGGGAAUGUCGCACCUUCGAACGUUGAACGCCACAAUUCCGUGGAGGCUGGUAUUAAUUAAAAUGUAAUUUAGUUUACAUUUUGCCGUAAUACUGGCUGGCGUGGAACAUGCUGUGCAAAUACACACGUUCCACGGGGACACUUCCGGAAUUGAAGAUAUCGUGGAUGGUGUGUGCACCGGUUGGCGCAAUGCACGACUUAGGGAACAGGGUCCGACUGCUGUUGCUAACGUUUAAAUAAAUAUUUCAGGAAUAUUUCUGGAUAGUAAACAGAGAGUACGUAUGCUUGCGAUGUAAUGAUGGCUGAGAAAUUUCAUUUGGACCUCAAGUACUACGAUAUGCAUUUCUUAAAUUAAAAUAUUAAUCAGGUAUAUGAACACUUUACCACAGAAAACUAAUUACAACAGAUCAUAAUUGCUGUUUUUCUUUCAAUUUGUGUUUCACAAACACGUUUGUUUCUAUCCUACAUUUCAUCAGCCUUGGGCAGUUUUUGACGAGGGACUACGUCUAACCGGAGUAUCUUCUUUCUUCUUCUUAUAUGGCACUAACGUUCCUAGAGGAACUCCGCAAUAACACGCCUUGAAUGCAUUCUGAGUGGCAAGCUCUAGAAUACGCGUGACCACAGUGCAAGUCAGAGGAAAUUUCUUUGAAGAAAAAUUUCCCCGACCAGAACGGGAAUCGAACCCGAACCCCCGGCAUGCUAGGUUUGACGCUAACCACUCGGCCACGGGAGCACUACCGGAGUAUAUGGGGGGUAAAAUGAAAACCUAAACACAGAACAUGCAGGAAAAAAAUUAAAGAUUCCGAAUUCUUAUAACUCGAACUUUUCUUACAGGAUCCGAAAGAUGUUUGCAUCUAUCGCGAUAAAUAAAAUGUUAUUUUUCAUUGGAUAAACAAUUGAAUAAUUGUAAAAUGUUAAGCGUUCUAACUACCUCGUUUUUAUUGGUCCGAUUUACGGUUUCCCCAACACAGCCAUCAUAACCAAGCAGCCUUGGGGAAAUCGGCAAUGCAAAUACAUGAAAGUAUGGGGAUUUUUGUUCUCACCGAAUUGUGUUCCCUAACACAGACUUAAAAACCGAGCAGUGUUGGAGAAAUUAGCAUUGCAAAUACAUGAAAGUCGGGGUUAUUUUUAUCCGACUGAAAUGUGUUUCCCCAACACAGACUUCAGAACCAAGCUGUCUGAGGAAAUUGGCAUUGCAAAUUCAUGCAGGUCUGGGGUAUUUUUGUUUCGACUGAAAUGUGUUUACCUAAUACAGACUUCUAAACCAAGGUGUAUGGGAAAAUCGGCAUUGCAAAUAAAUUCAAACUGCGAGUACAUUCGAACUUGCUUGCCUUUAUGCAAACUAGAAUAUGUUUCCUUAACAUGGUCUUCUAAACUUGGAAACAUGGGAAAAUCUUGCAGACAUUAGAGGCGAAUGAACUUUCAAGUUUGAAGGCUCUAUGAUAUAAAAAGUAUAAGUUGAAGUUGUUGCUUCAUGCAAGUCGGGGGUACUUUUGCACCCGCAUGUUUUUUUGCACUCCGAAAAUUGUUUUCCUAACACGGAUUACAAAAACGGUUCGAGAAGUACGUACACUUGAGAGAUGCAAAAUUCAGAUGGAAAUGUAAAAUAAAAUAAUCGUUUGUGAUUCUUCCGUUCACAUAUUUUGUCCUAGGCAUCAUACCAAACGUAAAGGGACUGUUCGUUAAGCCUCCAAAGCGCAACAGAAAAAUAAGAAUACAUGUAACACUUAUGUUCGCCCAAUGACGGGUAUAAAAGGCAGCAUCGUCAGCUAAGAAAGUCCAUUCUUUGUGUGGACACCGACUGGACAACAUCGUUGCUGGACGAGCUGGACGGCGAGGGAUCGAGUGCCUUUCUCAUGGCAAGAGGGCGGAGGUGGUAGCGCUGGAGUAGAGUAGAGUAGAGUUUUGACGUAGGAUUACGUCUUUCGGGAACAUAUUGGGGUACAAAUUGAAAAUCGAGAAUCGAGCACAUCGCGAAAAUUGUCCAAUUUCAAACGCUUAUUGCUCAGUCAUUUCAUGAUGGAUUGAUGAAAUUUUUGCGUCAAUCGAUUUCGGCACUCCAUAACAAUUUUUUAUAUUGAAUAAAAUAAUAUAUAUCAUUAAACUAACUAUCGAACAAUUGAAAAAUCUCAACCCCUAUCCUAACGGAAAUACCCACUUCUGAUUGGUCGAAAUUGACGACACAUGCGGCGGUUCCCUAACAGAGACAUCAAAACCAAGCUGCCUAAGGGAAAUCGGCAUUGCAAAUACAUGAAGUAGGGGGAGCUUUUGCUCCCGCCGAGAUGUGUUCCCAAACAGAGACAUCAAAAUCAAGCUGCCUGAUGGAAAUCGGCAUUGCAAAUACAUAAAAGUCGGGGGCAUUUUUAUAUUGCAAGUAAGAAGAGUGAUACGAAUAAUUCUAGCAAAUAAAAUUUAAAUUUGGAACUUUAAUGUUGGUUGCUUCGUGAAACUCCAUAUCAAUGUCCGAUCGUGUAUUGUGAAAAAUUUAGCACAAGGGUAGGUGUAAAAUUGUAUACGAUAGCCGUUGUGUUAACCCUUUCCCGUACA